GCCCCAGUAACGGCGAGUGAAGCGGCAACAGCUCAAAUUUGAAAUCUGGCUUCGGCCCGAGUUGUAAUUUGUAGAGGAUGCUUUUGGUGAGGUGCCUUCUGAGUUCCCUGGAWCGGGACGCCAGAGAGGGUGAGAGCCCCGUAUAGUUGGACACCGAGCCUCUGUAAAGCUCCUUCGACGAGUCGAGUAGUUUGGGAAUGCUGCUCAAAAUGGGAGGUAUAUCUCUUCUAAAGCUAAAUACUGGCCAGAGACCGAUCGCGCACAAGUAGAGUGAUCGAAAGAUGAAAAGCACUUUGAAAAGAGGGUUAAAUAGUACGUGAAAUUGUUGAAAGGGAAGCGCUUGUGACCAGACUUGUGCCCGGCUGAUCAUCCAGUGUUCUCACUGGUGCACUCUGCCGGGCUCAGGCCAGCGUCGGUUCUCGCAGGGGGACAAAAGCUUCGGGAACGUAGCUCCUCCGGGAGUGUUAUAGCCCGUUGCUCAAUACCCCUGCGGGGACCGAGGUUCGCGCUCUGCAAGGACGCUGGCAUAAUGGUCAUCAGCGGCCCGUCUUGAAACACGGACCAAGGAGUCGAGGUUUUGCGCGAGUGUUUGGGUGUAAAACCCGCACGCGUAAUGAAAGUGAACGUAGGUGAGAGCUUCGGCGCAUCAUCGACCGAUCCUGAUGUAUUCGGAUGGAUUUGAGUAAGAGCGUAUAGCCUCGGACCCGAAAGAUGGUGAACUAUGCCUGAAUAGGGUGAAGCCAGAGGAAACUCUGGUGGAGGCUCGCAGCGGUUCUGACGUGCAAAUCGAUCGUCAAAUUUGGGCAUGGGGGCGAAAGACUAAUCGAACCAUCUAGUAGCUGGUUACCGCCGAAG
rnacentral:rRNA from 1 species